rnacentral:lncRNA from 1 species
AAAACUGCAACUCUUCUAGCUAAAUCUGUACAAUCUUUCUUGAAUUUCCCACAAAAUCCAGCAAUUGAGAUCUGUGACACUUCAUGGAUUAGCCGGAGUGGAGUGUUAAUAGGGUGGUCUCUGGUACCGGUGGUGGCUUCUCCGCCGUCCAUGGUGGUUGUUGGUUUGUGGGGGGUGGGGGUGGGGCACUGCAACCACAGUGCAGUUUGUUGCAAAAAGGGACUUAUGAGGCUUGAGUUAAAAGAGUUGGGAGCUGAUUUUUAAAUUAUUUAAAUAUUGAAGAGGAGGAAAGAAAUUGUUUGGAGUGAGGAAAGUAGGAAACUAUAGGGUAAUUUAAUUUUGGUGCAGAAUUGUUAUAUUUAUUUGGGGAUAUUCGUAUUGAAACAUUGAUUUUGUUAAAUGGCAUUUGAAUAUUUA